CGUGGACCCGUAAUCCGGGUUGCGGACAGUGUCUGGUGGGUAGUUUGACUGGGGCGGUCUCCUCCUAAAGAGUAACGGAGGAGCACGAAGGUUGGCUAAUCCUGGUCGGACAUCAGGAGGUUAGUGCAAUGGCAUAAGCCAGCUUGACUGCGAGCGUGACGGCGCGAGCAGGUGCGAAAGCAGGUCAUAGUGAUCCGGUGGUUCUGAAUGGAAGGGCCAUCGCUCAACGGAUAAAAGGUACUCCGGGGAUAACAGGCUGAUACCGCCCAAGAGUUCAUAUCGACGGCGGUGUUUGGCACCUCGAUGUCGGCUCAUCACAUCCUGGGGCUGAAGUAGGUCCCAAGGGUAUGGCUGUUCGCCAUUUAAAGUGGUACGCGAGCUGGGUUUAGAACGUCGUGAGACAGUUCGGUCCCUAUCUGCCGUGGGCGCUGGAGAACUGAGGGGGGCUGCUCCUAGUACGAGAGGACCGGAGUGGACGCAUCACUGGUGUUCGGGUUGUCAUGCCAAUGGCACUGCCCGGUAGCUAAAUGCGGAAGAGAUAAGUGCUGAAAGCAUCUAAGCACGAAACUUGCCCCGAGAUGAGUUCUCCCUGAGACUUAGAGUCUCCUGAAGGAACGUUGAAGACGACGACGUUGAUAGGCCGGGUGUGUAAGCGCAGCGAUGCGUUGAGCUAACCGGUACUAAUGAACCGUGAGGCUUAACCUU
rnacentral:rRNA from 2 species